CUGCUGGUGGUGCUACUUCUAGUUUGGCCUCCUCGAUAUCAUCAGACGCAGCUGAAGAAUUUCUUCAGACUUUAGAUGAGAACCAAGAAAACAAGGAACCGCAGAAGAUGCAGACUCACCAGACCCUGGAGUUCUUUGAGAUGUGCUCCAGCCUAAUUAUAACUCUCGCUCGUUAGAAUCUCUUCCAUUUUAAUUGUUAUUAAUCUGGCUCGUUAAGCCCUCUUUAGUUAGCACCUGCGCAUCUCUCUCCUUCCCCUCACUGCUCUCCUCUCUCUCUCUCUCUCUCUCUCUCUCUCUCAUCUUGCUCCUCUUUCCCUCUCUUGUCUCUCUCUCUCUCUUCCUCUCUCCUUACUCCCAUUUCUCCCCCCUCAAUCCCCCCCCAGCCCUACUAUAUACUAAAUAUAUCCAUAUCUGUAAAUAUUUUUCCAAUUUCUUUCCUUUUUUUCUUUUUCUCUUUUUGUCUUCUUCCUACCUUCCACUCCUUUUUCUGACCCCUAUUUUAUCUAGAUUUCAACGCAUACCCACAGUCAAGUCUGUAUUUAGGGAUCAGUUUGCAUUUCAUAGGGCACUUCUGGGUUGGAGAUGGUUGUCCUGGGUUGGGCAUAGGGCCCCGCCAUAGCCCUUGAUCAGGACAGGAUUGGCUGACAAAAGUCUUGGUGGAGGAGGGGGAGCAGGGGGCAAGAGGCACAUGAUGCCUCCUUUCAGAUUCCUUGUUUGGUUAAACACUGUAUUGUCCCCUUAACUAUUUGCAACCCCUUAAGAACUCCUUGCUUGAUAAAACACUGUACUGUGACCCCUUAAAAACGUUUUGCUUCAUUAAACACUACUAUACUGUCUGUCCCCUUAAAAACUAAACUUCCCCCACCCCAUGCAGCUCAGUUUUAUUACUCCCUUUCUAAUAACCUUCAUGUUUGCUGCCUAUGGCCCUUAUCUCCCAACCCCUAACUUUAACAUUAUUUACUCCAGCGGCCCCUAUUUACACCAUGACAAAAGAUUUUUCCUUUAGUUUUUUUUUCAAUCAUUAUUGCUAAGGAUGCAGAAUUGGUAGAUUGGCAGGCUAAAUUGCAGAAUUGGUAGAUUGGCAGGCUAAAUUGCAGAAUUGGUAGAUUGGCAGGCAAAAUUGUAGAAAAGGUAGAAUGGCUGGCUGAAUUGGUAGAUUGGCAGGCUACAUUGUAGAAAUGGUAAACUGACAAGCUAAAUCACAGAAUUGGGGGGUUGGCAGAUUAAAUUGCAAAAUUGGCUGAUUAAUAGAAAAAAAAAUUUGUAGACUGACAUUCAAAAUUGCUGAAUUAGUAAAUUGGCUGAUACAAUUUCAAAAUUGGUAGAAAAUGGGACAAACAGGUUUAUAAUAUCAGUCCAGGUCUCUUUACAUGUCAGGGUUAAUGUUACUUUUCAUUUAUUAAGUACCAGCUGUGUAUUGAGGGAUUCAGUUGACUAUAUCCUACCUCAAAAAUUUGUGGCUUUGUGCUAAUAUUAGACAAUAUUAAUAAUAAUAGUAAUAAUAAUAAUAAUAAUGGCUCUUAUGGCUUCUGGUCUUAACUGAAUUUUGUCCUGGUGUAAAAGAUGGCCUACAGCAAAAUAUUCUGCUUAACACCACAGAUUUGCUUGUCAGUUGUUUGACCUUAACCAGUUGAGAAUGUCCCUUGGUGGCUGACGAUAUGUGUAUCUCUGAUCACGAGCAGAAGUAGUGGGGGAGCAUCAUAGCCAUGUGUUGAGAGGUAUUCUUUGGGGUUUGGAUAAUUCACCCUUGGAAACAUAGGUGUGUGUGUGUGUGUGUGUGUGUGCAUGUUCACUACUGUCAUUAAGGAUGUAUGUUAGGUGUAUAUAUAUAUAUAUAUAUAUAUAUAUAAAUAAGUGUUGUAGUUUGCUUGAAGCAUUGUUAUAUUAAAGAAGAUAAAAAGAGAGUUUUAUAAAAUCUUUAUAUUUCGGGCGAAGGCCCAUCUUCAGAUGAAAGAAUAGUCUGAGCAAAGUCCAGUUAUGUACCAUAUUUCUGUUGAGAUGCUCUGUGUUUCUUGCAAAUAAUUUUAAAUAUAACAAAGAAUUUAGUAAAAUAACUUCGUUAUCA